rnacentral:sRNA from 1 species
UACAUGCACAACAAAAUCCACUCAGCCAAGAUGUCUCCUUUAUCGAUAGUUACAGCCCUGGUGGAUAAGAUUGAUAUGUGUAAGAAGAGCUUGAGCCCAGAACAGGACAUUAAGUUCAGUGGCCAUGUUAGCUGGGUCGGGAAGACAUCCAUGGAAGUGAAGAUGCAAAUGUUCCAGUUACAUGGUGAUGAAUUUUGUCCUGUUUUGGAUGCAACAUUUGUAAUGGUGGCUCGUGAUUCUGAAAAUAAAGGGCCGGCAUUUGUAAAUCCACUCAUCCCUGAAAGCCCAGAGGAAGAGGAGCUCUUUAGACAAGGGGAAUGUACAUUAAUUUGUUUAUAAUAAAAUAAAUUUGAAAAGCACAUUAAUUACACUGCAGAAGAGAUUAAGAUUUUAUAUGGGCUCUUCAUACCAGUCAAAUGUCUUUUUUUUGUUUUUUGUUUUGAAAUGGAGUCUCUCUCUCUC